rnacentral:rRNA from 1 species
UACGUAGGGUGCGAGCGUUGUCCGGAAUUAUUGGGCGUAAAGAGCUUGUAGGCGGUUUGUCGCGUCUGCUGUGAAAAUCCGGGGCUCAACCCCGGACUUGCAGUGGGUACGGGCAGACUAGAGUGUGGUAGGGGAGACUGGAAUUCCUGGUGUAGCGGUGAAAUGCGCAGAUAUCAGGAGGAACACCGAUGGCGAAGGCAGGUCUCUGGGCCAGCUACUGACGCUGAGAAGCGAAAGCGUGGGGAGCGAACAGG